CCUCAGCUUUUAUGUGGUAGCAGAGGAUGAGGAGCAAAGGGACCUCUGAUGGCUGAUGGCCCUUGCAGUGAAGCUGCCAAACCUGAAGCUUUGGAGUCUCUUAAAUGCUUAGUCCCUCCGGAGCAGUCCUGGACAUGCCCGAGAGCCAAGGAAGAAGAACUUCAAAUGGAAGAUCUAGAAUAGAUCGAGAGAGUUAUUGAGCCUCCUCUUCCCCACGAGGGCCAGAGAGGGGGAAGACAUGAGUUUCAGGUUUCCCAGCUGUCAGAAGACACAGAAGACCAAGGAGGUGUUGAGUCUCAGCAAGUGAGGUUGACUCCGGGCCAGUUCCCACGGAUGGCACGCUCCCUGAAGAGGAGAGUGCGCUGGCCCCACACAGGUCGGAGGAGCCGUUGGAAGAUGCUUCGGACUCCCCUUUACCAAGCGGCUCUUGGGAUGCCUCAAGCGCGUCACCGCCCCCUGACCUCGAGCCGGAUGCUAAGGAGACGGUUCUUUCGGAUGAGCCGUUGGAAGCACACACCCCAUCACCCCGCUCUCGACGCCGCGAGAAGCAGACAGGACAGAGGCAGGACUUGCGAAGGAGCCAGAGAUUACGAUCUAAAACUUUCCCUACUUAAGACUGCAGCUCUCUGGGUUGAGCUGCAGAGUCAACUUUCUUCACACGUUGCCGAGCAUGUCUAGAGUGCAGUUAGGGAAUUCUAAUGAGCUAGCUUAGAGGUUUCUAUGAAGCGCACUGCUUUUGAUGUAUCCAUCACUUUAAUAAAACAAGAUUUAAUUGCACCUGCGUCUCAGCCUCGUGAAUCCCGCUCUGGACAGGACAAGAGUGGACAGCGAUGGA